AACGUAGGGGGCGAGCGUUAUCCGGAUUUACUGGGCGUAAAGCGCACGUAGGCGGGUCGGAAAGUUAGACGUGAAAGCUCCCGGCUUAACUGGGAGAGGUCGUUUAAUACUACCGAUCUUGAGGUUGAAAGAGGAGAGCGGAAUUCCCGGUGUAGUGGUGGAAUGCGUAGAUAUCGGGAGGAACACCAGUGGCGAAAGCGGCUCUCUGGUUCAGACCUGACGCUGAGGUGCGAAAGCGUGGGGAGCGAACGGG
rnacentral:misc_RNA from 1 species